UAACGCGUGGGAAUUUGCCCUUAGGUACGGAAUAACUCAGGGAAACUUGAGCUAAUACCGUAUAAUGACUCCGGUCCAAAGAUUUAUCGCCUGAGGAUGAGCCCGCGUCGGAUUAGCUAGUUCAGAGGUAAGAGCUCACCAAGGAGACGAUCCGCAGCUGGUCUGAGAGGAUGAUCAGCCACACUGGGACUGAGACACGGCCCCGACUCCUACGGGAGGCAGCAGUGGGGAAUAUUGGACAAUGGGGGCAACCCUGAUCCAGCAAUGCCGCGUGGGUGAUGAAGGCCUUAGGGUUGU
rnacentral:rRNA from 1 species